AUGCUUGUAGAUCAUGAAAAGAAUGCUUUAUGUGAUGGUUAUAUUGUUGAAUUUAUUCAUGAUGCUACUGAAAAUUAUUAUGAGGGAGGAAUAUAUGCUUGUAGGAAUUGCAAAAAUAUCAAGUUUCCUCUCUAUGUGCUUAAAAUUUUGAAGUUAUGCUUGUUUUACCUUCAUGUGCAAGUUGAUUCUUGUUCCCACAAGUUGUUUGCUCACAAAAUCCCUAUGCAUAGGAAGUGGGUUAGACUUAAAUGUGUUAGUCAUAUUCUUCUUGAUGCUCUCUUUAUGUUUCAAUUCUUAUCCUUUAUGUGA
rnacentral:rRNA from 1 species